AAGCAGGGGAUCGUAAGACCUUGCGCUUUUGGAGCGGCCGAUGUCUGAUUAGCUAGUUGGUGGGGUAAUGGCCUACCAAGGCUUCGAUCAGUAGCUGGUCUGAGAGGACGGCCAGCCACACUGGGACUGAGACACGGCCCAGACUCCUACGGGAGGCAGCAGUGGGGAAUUUUGGACAAUGGGCGCAAGCCUGAUCCAGCCAUGCCGCGUGAGUGAAGAAGGCCUUCGGGUUGUAAAGCUCUUUCAGCCGGGAAGAAAAGGUUGCGACUAAUAAUCGCAAUUCAUGACGGUACCGAAAGAAGAAGCACCGGCUAACUACGUGCCAGCAGCCGCGGUAAUACGUAGGGUGCGAGCGUUAAUCGGAAUUACUGGGCGUAAAGGGUGCGCAGGCGGUUUUGUAAGUCAGAUGUGAAAUCCCCGGGCUUAACCUGGGAACUGCGUUUGAAACUACAAGGCUAGAGU
rnacentral:rRNA from 1 species